rnacentral:rRNA from 1 species
CCAGCACCCCGAGUGGUCGGGACGAUUAUUGGGCCUAAAGCAUCCGUAGCCGGUUUUACAAGUCCUCCGUUAAAUCCAACUGCUUAACAGAUGGGCCGCGGAGGAUACUAUAAGACUAGGAGGCAGGAGAGGCAAGCGGUACUCAGUGGGUAAGGGUAAAAUCCGUUGAUCCAUUGAAGACCACCAGUGGCGAAGGCGGCUUGCCAGAAUGCGCUCGACGGUGAGGGAUGAAAGCGUGGGGGAGCAAACCGGAUUAGAUACCCGGGUAGUCCCAGCUGUAAACGAUGCAGACUCGGUGAUGGACCAGCUUCAUGCUAGUCCAGUGCCGCAGGGAAGCCGUUAAGUCUGCCCGCCUGGGUAGUACGGUCGCAAGACUG